rnacentral:lncRNA from 1 species
UCAAAACUUGCUGAAAUGGUGGUUGACUAUCAUACGAAGUAGCGACGAAUGAAACAAAAGCAUGACGAGGUAGCCGUCAGCUCUCGCUGGUCUCACUCUCAGUGUUGUGUGCCAUUUCCACUUCUGACAGAGCGAUUUCGUUACUGUAUCUAAUUAUGGUGCCUGUUGUCCACAAAGAUGAGGCCCAGGUGAUUCCAGAAUACACAUGAUACAGGAUGAACACCUCUGAGACACAGAGAAAAACAGAUGUUUUCCCUGGACUGUAUCAGCUAACCUACUUAAUGCUGGUGGAUACUUGUGAUGUUAAAUGUAACAUCAGUGAGGUCGCUGGGGAGGAAACAAUCACCCAUGAUGAUUUUGAUGGCAAGAAUAUUGAGCCAAACAUUUUCUCUCCAGACUGGGCACAGGCCAAAUAUGAAAGUAACUGUAUAUCAACACAGAGACAAACAUGUCAGUGCUUCCAGUACUAAUUACUAUGCUUAGUGCUGCAGCAAUUUAUUUAC